CAGCCUCUCUUCCUUGUUGCGGUGAUGGAGGUCGGACGUGUUGUGGUGGAGGGACAACUUCCAUGAAGCUUCACUCUCCACAGAAGGAUAUGGAAGCCUGGCCUGGAUUUUUCUUGAUAAGGUAAUGGGAACACUGCACUGACAGUCCACUGCUGCAUCACCUUGGUUUGGUAUUUUGAGAAAAAAAGUUUGUGUACCUUUUUAAUGUUGUAGAGCAAUUAAUAUGAUUUGCUGCCUAAAAAUGUUUACCUUUACUUCAAAUGGUCUUGUGACAUUAAAUGUAUGAACUGUAAAAUCCACUGAAUAAAGCUGAAUGUAUUAAACUGUA